rnacentral:RNase_P_RNA from 1 species
CGACCGGGUCGGACAGCCGCGGACGCAAGCCGAAAGGCUGCGGAUGAGGAAAGUCCGGGCUCCACAGGGCAGGGAUAACGGGUAACGCCCGCCGAGGGCAACCUCAGGACAAGUGCAACAGAGAGAUGUAGCCGGGUUUCCCGGUCAUAGUGAAAAGGUGCGGUAAGAGCGCACCCGCCCCAUGGAGACAUGCGGGUGCUGUAAACUCUAUCCCGGAGCAACGCCGUGGAGGGACAUAGGUUCGCCCGACCGUCCCGAGGAGGCGGCUUGAUCCUGCGGGCAACCGCGGGACUAGAUAGAUGGCUGUCAAGACAGAACCCGGCUUAUAGACCCGCGUCGCCAA